GACGAACGCUGGCGGCGUGCUUAACACAUGCAAGUCGAACGGAAAGGCCCUGCUUGCAGGGUGCUCGAGUGGCGAACGGGUGAGUAACACGUGGGUGAUCUGCCCCUUACUUUGGGAUAAGCCUGGGAAACUGGGUCUAAUACUGGAUAGGACCAUGCUGUAGGUGGUGUGGUGGAAAGAUUAGUUUCGGUAAGGGAUGAGCUCGCGGCCUAUCAGCUUGUUGGUGGGGUAAUGGCCUACCAAGGCGUCGACGGGGAGCCGGCCUGAGAGGGUGGACGGCCACAUUGGGACUGAGAUACGGCCCAGCCUCCUACGGGAGGCAGCAGUGGGGAAUAUUGCACAAUGGGCGCAAGCCUGAUGCAGCGACGCCGCGUGGGGGAUGACGGCCUUCGGGUUGUAAACUCCUUUCAGCCAUGACGAAGCCCUUGUGGUGACGGUAGUGGUAGAAGAAGCACCGGCUAACUACGUG
rnacentral:rRNA from 1 species